rfam:Gossypium arboreum cultivar AKA8401 contig_7172_5, whole genome shotgun sequence.
AAUAGAAGAAUGACAAAUCAGAUUUUUUCUCCUGAUUUUUAAUUUUUUCCUCCUGAAAAAAUUCAAAUUCAACUAAAAAUACUGAGAAUCAGGAGGAAAAAUAUGAUUUGUCAUUCUCCUAUU